rnacentral:rRNA from 1 species
UGCCAGCCGCCGCGGUAAUACGGAGGGUCCAAGCGUUAUCCGGAAUUAUUGGGUUUAAAGGGUCCGCAGGCUGUUUGUUAAGUCAGAGGUGAAAUCCUGCAGCUCAACUGUAGCAUUGCCUUUGAUACUGCCAGACUUGAGUUAUUGUGGAGUAGUUAGAAUGUGUAGUGUAGCGGUGAAAUGCAUAGACAUUACACAGAAUACCGAUUGCGAAAGCAGAUUACUAACAAUAUACUGACGCUGAGGGACGAAAGCGUGGGUAGCGAACAGGAUUAGAUA